GAUAACACCUAACGCACGACAGGUCCAUAAUACAGCAUUCCAGGUACAAUAAUAUUCAUCAAAUACAUGUAUAUGUGAUUACAUCCUUGAUGAAUACAACCAUCUGGCAUAGCCCUACGGCUAUUUUAAUGGCAGCGGAAGUCUAUUAAAAAAGGCGGCGGAAGUCUUGUUUUGGCAGCAUAACAACUCUGGCUGGGCUCCACAACUCACAGGACUGGCAAGAUUACGGCCUAGCACGACGGAUCAAGCGAGCAAUACGGGUACGACCUACAAAACUGGCAUGACACGCCAGGUCAGUACAUUGAAUGUACUUGCAAGACAACCAAAUACAUAGCAUCCAAACAAGCUGCAGACAAAGCAAGAACCGAGCGCAUGCAACACCCUAUCUCAUAUCAAUUACUAAACAUGGCAUGAUAAACAUCAACUAAGCAUGAACAAAAUCAUAACAUCUACUAACAUGGCAAUGGCAUGGCAUAUCAGAACAUGAUUAUAACAUUGUAAUAGCAAAACAUAGAAUUUUAUCUCAAUCAUGGCAUAACUUAACAUGUCAAUCAAAGCAUAGCAUGGCAUCAAGAAACUAUGCUGAAAAUAAACUACCGAAUAUAUAUCCAAUGCAGACAUAGCAUGUUAACAUUAUGCAAUCAUCUUCUAUUCUAUCAUGGUUCUUUAAAUGCAAAUAAUGAUAUAUUAUUCCUGCAAUGCAACCAAACUUGUGCACCGAGUCCCUCGGACUCUCUUACCAACGUGUUGCCUCGCAACCGAGCGGUGAUCUUUCCGGCGAUCACAACCAUGACCAACACUUGGUUUCCAACACUUAUCGAGACCUCGUCUCGUGAUCAUAUCAAAACGUCAUCGUGACUUCUCACGACUAUCUCAUAGUCCAAGUCACCAUAUUUUUGUUAUCACAUAUUUAUUUACCAACUUAAUUAUUUCAGGUUUAUCCUCCAUUUCGACCAAGACCUGAUAGUGGGACCUACUACGAACUGUGUUGCUAUCGAUAGACUUUAUAUACACUGUGCAGAGGUAGCACAUUGUACCCACACCACGGAACUCGUCAUCCCAUUCGGGUGGACCAACGGCAUUCCGACGAAACCGACCUACUGCCAUGACGCUCUCCCGGCCACUCCGACCCAAUCCCCAACGGGCUGGUCCUGGGUGGCCCCGUGUCUACCAAAGACACCCCGACCACCGUCGUGGUCAACUCCCAUUUGGGGACACUCCCACUCAGGGACACUCCCACUCAGGGACUGGAACGAAAAAUCUCAAAAACGAGCACACAAGGUUAUGUCCGCUUACCUGAUCAGGGUAAGCACGCCCAUAACCUUCCCUAGUGGGAGGCACCGGCGAGAGGUCAGAACAAUAGCUCGCAUUAAGGCCUCCCAUAAGGCAAAUGUGGCUGCACUGAAAAAGUUCGGUUUGGCGGCACUAUGACUUGAUCCCAUCGAUGAUGGAGGAGGUUUGUUAUUAUUAAGUCAUUUUAUUUCCUUCUCCAUCAUCAUGAACAUAUUUAACAUGAGUGCAACAUGCCGCAUACAAAUGCACGAACAAAAUAUUGAACUCCUCAAGUGCACAACUAUAACAUAAAGGACACGACAAUAGUAUAUCAACAGUGCAUUACAAUCCUCAUAACACUUUAUAACGAUGACAUGCAAAUAAAGUAGAGUAGUGGCAUGGCAUUAUUAAUAAUAACAUUCUAAUUAACAUGGCAAAGGUAUCAUGAAACACAAGCAUGCAAGAUAGGCAUAAAGAAAUAACUGCCGAUGAAAACGAUAUAAAACAACUACAACUACACACACACACAAGGUGCAAGCAAAGUCAACAUGCAUGUUCGGGGCUCAUGACAAGAGGUUGGCUUGCCUGGGGGUAGACAAAUACUCCGGGAAGAAGUGUGAAAUGAUCGCGAAAAGAUUUGCCAGAAACAGUUCCUUCUUGGAGGGGGCUGUUUACGAGCAAGGGCAAAAAGGUCAUUUUCACUGUGUGAAAAUAUUAUGAAAAUGAUAUCAACGGAACGGGCUUGACGAAACGAAGACGUGGGCUUUGGAAUCACCUGAUUCGGAGCUACGGGUAAAAAGAUAUGACUGUUUAACUAUCAGGGACCAAUCUGUAAACAAAAUCAUUACAAACGGGGCCCUAGCAGAAAAACAGAUCGCAUCUUACUCAGAAAUACGCUUUCCAAAAAGGAAAGCGCAUUCUAACCCGAAGAAGAGGAAGAAUAGGCUUUCGGUGAUUGAAAGCACAUUAUCCAGCAAUACGCUUUCGCGUGGGGAAAACGACUCGCGCCUGGGGCGCGUCCACUUAUCCAACGUGGCGCUCCCCGUCUCGCCGACAGGUGGGGCCUAGAGGCAGGGUCAACACGGGCGGGGACCGCCUGGCCUUCUUCUUCCUCACGCUCGGGGUCGAGCAAGGCAGCGGGAGGGGAUCGCCCCGACGGCGAUCGCCGGCGCGUCCGGCCACCUCUCGCGACGGCCGACCUACCCACGAGCUCAGGAGAACGAGGCGCAUCUCCUGGUGGGCUCGGUUGCCGGCGAGGAGCGCGGGAGAAGAAGCAGCAGGG
rnacentral:lncRNA from 1 species